GCUAAAACCCCAUAUGCCCCUGGGUGAAAAAGAGGAGAUAAGUUAAACUAAGUCACCUCUGCCUGAAGAGAAGCUCGCGGCUGAUUAGCUAGUUGGUAGGGUAAAGGCCUACCAAGGCGACGAUCAGUAGCUGGUCUGAGAGGACGAUCAGCCACACUGGAACUGAGACACGGUCCAGACUCCUACGGGAGGCAGCAGUGAGGAAUUUUCUGCAAUGGGCGAAAGCCUGACAGAGCAAUACCGCGUGAGGGAUGAAGACUUACUGAGUUGUAAACCUCGGUACCUUAAGGAAGAAGAUAUGACGGUACUUAAGGUGGAAAGCAUCGGCUAACUCCGUGCCAGCAGCCGCGGUAAGACGGGGGAUGCAAGUGUUAUCCGGAUUUACUGGGCGUAAAGCGUCUGCAGGUGGUUUCUUAAGUCUACUGUUAAAUCUUGAGGCUCAACCUCAAAUCUGCAGUAGAAACUAGGAGACUUGAGUAUAGUAGGGGUAGAGGGAAUUUCCAGUGGAGCGGUGAAAUGCGUAGAUAUUGGAAAGAACACCGAUGGCGAAGGCACUCUACUGGGCUAUUACUGACACUCAGAGACGAAAGCUAGGGGAGCAAAUGGGAUUAGAUA
rnacentral:rRNA from 1 species